GCUGUCUUCAUUAGUAUUAGGACAUUGCACUGUUGCAGAGACACUGAGAACAGAAGCAGGACUGCAGAGGUACAUAACUCCAUAGGACAGACACCUUUCUAUAUUACCAAAUGCAGUCUUAUUCAAAAACAAAAAUCAAACAUGGCAUGUGUUUAUCAUAAAGAUGGAAAUACUUCAGGAAUCUUCCCCGAGUUCUGGCCUGAAUGCUAAGCAGCUCCUCUCGACCACUGACACCCACAAGCAAAGGCUGCUGCUCCCCAGGAGUUGGUUGAACUUUUAAAAUGCUAAAGAGCCCACUGGAGGAUGUCUUCCGAAGGGGAUCGUUGGAUACCACAGAGUGCAGUCAGAGCCGCUUACCCACAGUACCCCAGGACUGUAUGGAUAUUCGUAUGAAAUGAAAAAAAAAAAAAAUUUUAGCAAGGGUUUUAGAAAUGUAUUUUCUCUUCUAUUAGUAUUAGGAUUAUUACACCUUUUGGACUAGUCUUCCAUUCAGCUUAAUUCCAUGUUGCUCAUUCCAUGUUGCUCAUUCUCUGUUGCUCAUUGCCUGCAAUGCAAAUCUUCCUGUGUAAUUUGAAUCUUAUUUCAAGGCCAGUUUGCAUAAACUAAAAUAUGAUUAAUGACGGGACUGUUACUGAUUGCUCAUAUUGAUACCCAUUUAAACAUACACCGGAGUACGUGGACAUGGGCAUCAGGGCACUGUGAACUCAUUAUUAUACCAUGUACACCUGCUACGUGGCCAAGGGUCAGAAAACAAAGCCACCUGGCACUGCAGUGUGUUGAUCAGGUUGUUUGUUAGCUUUGGAAGGCUCUCUGGGUUCUUCCUGUUAAAGGCCAUUCCUCACUAUGGCAUGGUAUGUUACACCAGAAAUGUGGGGAGGAACGUGGCAGAACAGCCCCCAUAAAAUUUACAAGCAAAAGUGAUAAAGAGUGGUUCAAUCACAGGCUAUUUAGUCCAUUGCUAAGUUAACACCCACACGCUUUCGGGAGCUCUUACAUGCCUCGUUGGGUUUUUAUCCCUAUAAUUCUGUUACAUUAGUAGUGUUUUGUUUUGCAAAAAAAAGGGCUCCUGGCUACAUUCAGCGAGCAAGGCCCUGAACAGAUUAAAUACAGUGACCUGUAUCGUAGCUCUUUCCUUACCUGCUUUCAUUGUGAACACUGGAGAACUCACUGCCAAUUAUAAACAUGUACAGGCUGCUAGACUGAGUCACAUCCAGAAUCUGUGUCUGAAUGGUUUCAGGGGUUGGAAUCUGCAAAUUCAAGAC